GUGCUUGUAGCUCAGUUGAAUAGAGCGUCGCCCUCCGAAGGCGAAGGUCGUGGGUUUGAAUCCCAUCAGGCACA
rnacentral:tRNA from 1 species